UGUCAUCGCGGGCAAGCCUUGCUCCCACAGGGUUUACGCAAUCCCUGUAGGAGCGAGGCUUGCCCGCGAAGCUU
rnacentral:antisense_RNA from 1 species